ACCGUUACGGGGGAAGCGGAUCGCGUUGGAUUGGUGGGCGCUUGUGUGUUCAGCCUUUAUGGUGCAUUGGCACAAGUGCUUAUCCGCUGUGGGUUCUCGGGGGUCGAUUUUGGAUCCCUGGGGACCGAGGGCUCCCUUUUUGGUGAGGACAGCGGAGUGACGACGCGAUACGACCCGUCUUGAAACACGGACCAAGGAGUCUAGCGCGGGUGCGAGUCAGAGGGUGCAAGCCCGUGGGCGAAGUGAAAGCGAGUGUAAAAACUAGCAGUUUGGGGCGGCAUAAGAUCGUUGAUCUCAAGACCGACCCAGAGCAGUUGCGCUGGGACCCGAAAGAUGGUGAACUAUGCCGGAGUAGGGCAAAGCCAGAGGAAACUCUGGUGGAGGCUCGUAGCGGUGCUGACGUGCAAAUCGCUCGUCGAACUUGGGUAUAGGGGCGAAAGACUAAUCGAACCAUCUAGUAGCUGGUUCCCUCCGAAGUUUCUCUCAGGAUAGCGGGCCGACAAGUUGUUUUGUGCGGUAAAGCGAAUGAUUAGCGCAAUCGGGGGCGUUUAGCCUUCGGGCGAUUCUCAAACUUUCAAUGCGCAAGGGUGCCGCUGCUUAAUUGAGCGGUACCGGUAAAAACGUCGGCCCUGUGGGCCACUUUUGGUAAGCAGAACUGGCGAUACGGGAUGAACCGUAAGCAAGGUUAAGGCGCCAAACUGCCCGCUUAUAGACCCCACAAAAGGUGUUGAUUCAUCGAGACAGCAGGACGGUGGCCAUGGAAGUCGGAAUCCGCCAAGGAGUGUGUAACAACUCACCUGCCGAAUGAAUUAGCCCUGAAAAUGGAUGGCGCUGAAGCGGGCGGCCGACACCUUGCCGUCUGGACAAGAAUUUCAGAUGAGUAGGAGGGCGUGGCGGCCGUGUCGAAGCGCGCGUGCAGACGCGUGUGGAACGGCCGCUAGUGCAGAUCUUGGUGGUAGUAGCAAGUAUUCAAGCGAGAUCCUUGAAGGGCGAAGUGGGGAAGGGUUUCACGCGAACAUUGAUUGGGCGUGAGUGAGUCGUUCCUAAGCCGAGUGGCAAUUGCUAAUUAACGGCGAAAGGGAAGCGGGUUGACAUUCCCGCACACGGAUGUGGAGGCGGCGACGCAUUAUUGGGGCGAACACGCUGGCGAUGGCGCUGGGCAGAGUUGUCUUUUCUGUUUGACCGCUUGCGCACGCAGUGUGGAAUCCGCUUGUCGGGAGAAACACGCGUGUACGGGCAGAGCGCUGGGGCUUUUCCAGCGUCCAGCUCGCCAUCGACGGCCCUUGAAACUUUGCCUGCUGAUUUAAGAUCCACGCCGUGGCGUACCGAUCACCGCAUCAGGUCCCCAAGGUGAACAGCCUCUGCUCAAUAUGAAAAAUGCAGGUAAGGGAAGUCGGCAAAUUAGACCCGUAACUUUGGGAAAAGGGUUGGCUCUAGUGCUGCGUGGGAGUGGUUGUCGGUUGUUGGCGUUUCUGGUGUGGCGGCUUGGCGCGGGGCCCUUUUUGGGACCUGUUCCUGCUGCUACGCUGGUGGCGGCGCGGCCGACGACGCCCACAGCAUGCAGCAGACUA
rnacentral:rRNA from 1 species